UUGGAGGGCAAGUCUGGUGCCGGCAGCCGCGGUAAUUCCAGCUCCAAUAGCGUAUAUUAAAGUUGUUGCAGUUAAAAAGCUCGUAGUUGAAUUUCGGGGUUAGUAGGUUGGUCAUGCCUCCGGUAUGUACUGGUCUCACUGAUUCCUCCUUCCUGAUGAAUCGUAAUGCCAUUAAUUUGGUGUUGCGGGGAAUUUGGACUGUUACUUUGAAAAAAUUAGAGUGUUUAAAGCAAGCUAACGCUUGAAUACAUUAGCAUGGAAUAAUGAAAUAGGACG
rnacentral:rRNA from 1 species